rnacentral:rRNA from 1 species
GAGCUCUACCCGGUUCACUCCGCCACCUCUACCACUUCCGCCGCCCCUGUCGCCCUCGCCACCGGAGUGGAUCUUUGGCACGCUCGCUUGGGUCAUCCCAAUCCCGCCACCCUUCGUCAUAUACUUCGGAGUUUUUCUUUCACGUGUAAUAAGAACGAGGAUCACUCGUGUCAUGCAUGUCGCCUCGGCAAACAUGCUCGUCUCCCGUUUAGGGCUUCUUCUCAUGUUGCAUCGUACCCGUUUGAGUUAAUUCAUAGUGAUGUUUGGACCUCUCCUGUUGCCAGUAAUACGGGCUAUCUUUAUUAUCUUGUCAUACUUGAUGAUUUCUCGCAUUAUGUGUGGACCUUCCCGUUGGGCCGCAAGUUAGAUGCUAUAUCCACUCUCGCCGCUUUCUACUCCUAUGUUCUCACGCAGUUUGGUCGUCCCAUUCUCGCGUUGCAGACAGAUAAUGGGAAGGAGUUCGACAACCUCGCUGUUCGUACUCUUCUCACCACACAUGGCAUGGCUUUUCGUCUCACAUGCCCGUACACCUCGCAGCAGAACGGUCGCGCUGAGCGUAUCCUUCGCACUCUUAAUGACUGCGUUCAUACACUCCUCUUUCACGCCAAUGUGCCUCCGCGCUUUUGGCCUGACGCUCUCGCCACCGCUUCACUCCUCAUUAACAUCCGUCCAUGUCGCACUCGCGGGAACUUUGCACCUCAUCACCUCCUCUUCGGUGCACCACCCUCUUAUGAUGAGCUUCGCAUCUUCGGCUGUCUCUGCUACCCUAGCAUCGCCGCUACUGUCCCUCAUAAGCUUGCACCCCACUCCGUCGCCUGCAUCUUUCUCGGCUACCCACCUAACACUAAGGGCUACCGCUGCUAUGAUCCUGUCUCCCAUCGUGUUUUCACCUCCCGACACGUUUAC